GGAUAGUAAGACUCCUUGGAUCCUUCAUCUUAGGCGGAUGCUUUCUCUUCUUAGAACGUGUACAACUUUCCUAUUUUUCAUUUUCUUCUUCUUCAAGAUCUAUGACUUCUCCAAAAUAGUACUUUAUUCGCUUGGAGUAAACAGGAAGUUGGUGGAGAACUUCAGUUGAAGGCAUAAUCUUCAUCUGGUUAAAUAUCUCUCUAGAAUGCCCACAAUUUCUUUCUUUUCUCUCAUCUUCACUCUCAUUUUCUCUCUUCUCCUCCUCUUCAUCCUCACUACUCUCUAGCUCAAUUAUCUCUUUUUCCACUCCUCUCUCAUGUAAGCUCACCACAACUUUGCACUCUUCUUUAGGGUUAACAUCAGUAUUAGCCCUAAAUUGGUUUUUUUCUGUGCCUUCCA
rnacentral:lncRNA from 1 species